GCAUAUAGCUUAUUGAUUCACGGAUAUAUAUAUAUAUAUUAUAUAUAGUGAAUAUUAAAUUUUUUCAAAGAUUAUUUGUUCAUGAGAGACACAGAGAGAAGCAGAGACAUAGCAGAGGGAGAAGCAGGCUCCAUGCAAGGAGCCCAAUGUGGGACUCAAACCCGGGAAUCCGGGAUCAUGCCGAGCCAAAGGCAGAUGUUCAACUGCUAAACCACUCAGGCAUCCCUGAAUAUAAAAUUCUUUAUUGGAUACGCAUACAGUAACUAUCUUCUCUUUUGUGAUUUGACUUUUCGUUCUUUUACUGAUGCCUCUUGUUUUAUUUUUUUCUAUCUCCAGUUUACCCAGACUUAUAGAUUGUGUCCUUCCAGGAUCCAGACUGAGAGCUUGUGAUGCUUAACCCAUUGUUAGCUAGUUUUGUUUACCUGGAAUCUUUGAAAAUGGAGAUAAAUGGAAGGUUACUUAAAAUGCUCAAAUAUAAAAAGGAUGCUGCUAUUAUUUCAAUUUGGAUAUUCUGUGGCUUCAGUGACAUUACCACAUUCCCAGUUGAUGCAGUCAUCAUCAAAUACCACUGACUAAAGCAAAGAGUUUUGAAUUAUUCAGGUAGCUUGCUCUCUUUUCAUAUGGAUAAUCACCUGUUAAAAUUAUAUAGCAAGAUUGUUUUGUCACUGUAUUUUUUGUAUCUCUUAGGUGUAUCAUCUUGGAAAGUGGCAGCACAAGAAUUUCAGGUUCCCAGUGGAUCCUGGUGGGGGCUGGAGAAGUCGAGGGCAGGAUUACAGCCAUUCCUGACUCAAGAUGAAUCAGUCUUUGCUUGGAGACCAGUUUUUAAUGAGAGAAGGGAAAAAAGAAGAAAUGAAACAAGAGAGCUUGGUGUAUGGACUCUGGAGAGGUUUUGCAGACAUGCACUGCAGUGGCUGCUGCUAUGAAACCUACUUGUCUAACACAGAGGGAAGCUUAAAUCUGCUGCAGUUGUACGGAAUGACACAGCAAAGAAAUCAGGCAGCAGGUUUUCAGUGGCUGAUAAUUUCACCGGACCCAGAUCUGUGACUAAACAAUUUAAACAUUUGCUCCAAGUCCCAUUUCACUUGAACUAGUAUCUCUUUUCAUUUGCUCUUCUGUGAGGGUUGUUAACCUGGUGGUAAGCAACAUGUAUUGAGAUUUUCAUCUGCUGAGUGCCACCUGAGAGAGUUUUCAGUGUAGAUAGGCAAUUGUAGGACUUCAGUUUGGAAAAAAAAAUUUUUAAAGUAUCUUUUAGGCCAGAAAGAAAUAAAUGGCAGGAAUAAAGAAGUGCA
rnacentral:lncRNA from 12 species